AUUGCAGAUGUUUGUGAUUCGCCUUCUAUACGAGAGCGAGGAGUAGCUGGUGUAGCUGGUGGACUUAACGACCUUAGAGAAGGAGAAUUCCUAUUCAAAAGCGAACCACGGUAGCGAGAACGAAAAGCCGAUCUUUCAGUAGUUCUAUCACGAUUACCAUUUUCCGAAUUGCCUUCAUCGUUACGAUGCCGCUUUGCUCUUCGAAGACCUAAGACUCGCUGCAAAGAGGGAAAACGAUUCCACAGCCUACUAAAGCCAGAAUUUUGUCGAUCUGAAUCAUUAAUGUUUUCACUUUCUGAUGAAACCGCCUGCAUACUUGCGUCCCUUUGAAUUUGCCGACUGGGAAUGGAUUCACCUUGCCCCAUUUGUGUAGUGAGUGCAGUA